UACGGAGGGUGCAAGCGUUUAUCCGGAUUUACUGGGUUUAAAGGGUGCGUAGGUGGGCCUGUAAGUCAGUGGUGAAAUCUUCAAGCUUAACUUGGAAACUGCCAUUGAUACUAUAGGUCUUGAAUUAUCUGGAGGUAAGCGGAAUAUGUCAUGUAGCGGUGAAAUGCUUAGAGAUGACAUAGAACACCCAUUGCGAAGGCAGCUUACUACGGAUUGAUUGACACUGAGGCACGAAAGCGUGGGGGAUCAAAACAGG
rnacentral:rRNA from 1 species